AUUGAACGCUGGCGGCAGGCCUAACACAUGCAAGUCGAACGAGUGGCGGACGGGUGAGUAAUGUCUGGGAAACUGCCUGAUGGAGGGGGAUAACUACUGGAAACGGUAGCUAAUACCGCAUACCAUCGGAUGUGCCCAGAUGGGAUUAGCUAGUAGGUGGGGUAACGGCUCACCUAGGCGACGAUCCCUAACUGGUCUGAGAGGAUGACCAGCCACACGGGAACUGAGAAACGGUCCAGACUCCGACGGGAGGCAGCAGUGGGGAAUAGUGCACAAUGUGCGCAAGCCGGAUGCAGCCAUGCCGCGUGUAUGAAGAAGGCCUUCGGGUUGUAAAGUACUUUUGGCAGAGAAGCGUUAUUUGCAGAAGAAGCACCGGCUAACUACGUGCCAGCCGCCGCGGUAAUUC
rnacentral:rRNA from 1 species